GAGGGAGGAGAUGAUGAUUAAUUAAGGAAAAGCAAAUUAGCCUCACUUUGCAUGUAGCAACUGUGGGUGAUUUUCAUGAUAAAGAGGCUGUUUAGGGGCUGUUUUGUUUGGCCUUCGGCUCUGAAAUAACAAGGUUUGUGUGUGUGUCUGUAAUGACCUGCCAGGUACCAGCUCAGAGAAAGAGCUUUUUUUGAGAAUGCAUACCAGGCACUCCUUUGCGGAACAGCAAAUGUGUGUGUUCAGCCUAAUUAGAAAAGAAAAUGAUGAAGAUGAAAAGACAUAUGGCUGUCUCCUCUGGACUUUGCUCUCUCUCCAGCAGCAGUAGCGUCUCCAUUGGCUCCAGAGGCCUGUUAAGGAGGAGGAAUGGACAGGAGCACCAGCAGUAGCUGCGUUAGCUGGCGAGGGGGUGAGCAGAGCUCUCAGCAGCCUGGCAAGAGAAUUCGUCAUCCACCUGGUUUCUUUCUUCAAAUGAACAAAUGGGAAAAAUAAACAAGUCCAUUCUCGGUCCAUUAUUUUCCCUUCAUUGUCAAAGCAGAUGCUUGCACAGUUAAAGAAAGAAGGAAAGGUCUGUGCUUCCUAUAAAGGGCAUGUUUUCACUUUAGCUGACACUUUUAAAAAUGAUAAAGAAAAUGAUGUUCUGUUUUUUUUCUUCCUGAGUAUCUGUUUAUCCUCGUUGCCGUGUCUCUGCUCUGAACUAUUGUAAUAUGGUAGGAGGAGUUUUUUCCUCUCGUCGUGGGGUUGCUGUUGCA